rnacentral:misc_RNA from 1 species
AACGCACAUUGCGCCCAUUAGUAUUCUACUGGGCAUGCCUGUUCGAGCGUCAUUUCAACCCUCAAGCUUUUUUUGCUUGUUGUUGGGGUUUUAUCUACAGAAAGAAGCUUAAUAAACUUUAAAACUUUUUAUUCCUCUUUGUAGGCCCUCAAAUUAAGUGUGCAGGACUGCUGAAACUCCGAACGUAGUAGCUUUAUUUCUCGUUCUGGAUUGUUUUGGUAGGGCUUUCUAGCCGUUAAAAGCCUCUAUUUUAUUCAAUGGUUGACCUCGAAUCAGGUAGGAAUACCCGCUGAACUUAA